CGCAGGCGUGGGCGGGAUACCUACCACCAGCGCGCCUGGGAAAAACGGAUGCUGUGGGGGUAAGGUUGAGAAAUCCGGUGCGGUGGCGAAGACAGAGCCGCAACCUGUUUGUCUGUCGGGC
rnacentral:sRNA from 12 species